GUGCUCGCUUCAGCAGCAUUUAUAGUAAAUUAGAAUGAUACAGAGGCCAUUAACAUGGCCCCAAUGUAAGGAUCACAUGCAAAUGCAUGAAGAGUUUCCUAUGUUU
ensembl:snRNA U6 U6 spliceosomal RNA